AAAGCCCGGUGCGUUCCGAAGCCUUAGGUUCCUACCUGAGGUACUUAUGUAGGAACCACUGGGCUUA
rnacentral:ncRNA from 1 species